UACGUAGGGUGCAAGCGUUAAUCGGAAUUACUGGGCGUAAAGCGUGCGCAGGCGGUUUUGUAAGUCUGUCGUGAAAUCCCCGGGCUCAACCUGGGAAUUGCGAUGGAGACUGCAAGGCUAGAAUCUGGCAGAGGGGGGUAGAAUUCCACGUGUAGCAGUGAAAUGCGUAGAGAUGUGGAGGAACACCGAUGGCGAAGGCAGCCCCCUGGGUCAAGAUUGACGCUCAUGCACGAAAGCGUGGGGAGCAAACGAGGAUUAGAGUACCCGGGU
rnacentral:rRNA from 1 species